UUCACUUUCACAUUCAUAAAGACAUUCACACAUCCACAUAUAGCUAAUAAAUAUAAAUCGAAACAAACUGUUGCAUCAUUAUGAUAACUGAGCACGCAUUUAAUGGAAUCAUAGGAACAUAAAAAAAACCAAUCGAAAACUCUCCAACAUGGUAUCAACCCUUACUGGAAAUCAUAAAAGCUAGCGCAAAAAAUAUCAACACAACAUUAUGUAUUUUUGUAUAGUCGUACCACUCACAAGCAUACGAAUACUUCUCUCGAUUCUAAAUUCUCAAAAGUUAUAAAAAUGGGAAAUAAUACUAGUGUGUCAAAUCUGUGUCUGGGAUUGAACUUGCUCUUUCGUUGUUUGUAUUUAUUUACGAAGUUAUGUGUCAUUCGGUAGUACCUGUUUGACACAUAUCUGAAUAACGAAGUUCCUGGUUCCAUUUGUUUUGUAAUAAAACUCGUAGACUGUCUGGUGAAUAUACGAAUGUAUAGUAACGUACCUUGAAGGUAAUGAUUUUAGCUGAACGCACAUGCUAACGGAUAUGCACAAUAUCAUGUUUUAGUAAGUGCUGAAUCUAAUACCGUUUUUGGGCUUGAAUCUGGGUCUGGUCGAACUCGGACUUCGGAUUAGGCUUUUAAAUUUAAAGUCAGUAUUAGUGUCAGUGAAAUUCAUUUUUAUUUCAAUCUCCUCAACUCACAAUGCAUACGAGAAUGGUGAUUUAAAUUUAACCUCACAGUACAUCUAAUGAACCAAUUGACUUCUCUCACUCUUCGUUUGAAUGUAAACAGUAGUGAUAAAUGCGAACAUAGUUGUAGAUCUUGCAAAUUUCUCAGACAAACCUUGCUUCGCUUUAUCGAGUACCAACCAAAUUUCAAGAAAGUAUCUUAAAAUUGACCGGUAUUCACAAUUUUUUUUUGCUAAUAUAGACCUCUCGUAAAUAUUUCAUAAUUACAUUGAGGAUGUUUGCACUUUCUCUGGGUUUUCUGAACAUUAUUACAUAUUUGAAAACUGGUAUCGACUACAGGACCAACAUUUCUACACACAUGCAAACGUUCCAAAAAUAUUCAAUAUGUACAAACCUACUUUUCUGAUCUAAAAUAGAAGGAAUAUUUUUUAAAUUUAACGCAAAAUAUUCGAAAAAAUGCAACACUUUUAUUAAAUGGAUGUUAUUUAUAGGAUGCAUCAAAAUUUUCACGGAACAUUACAUGCAGCCUAAUUUGCCGACUAUAUUUAGUGUGCUCAUAAUUUCUGGAACAGUUUAUAACCGAAACGUUCUGAAGUGUAAACUCUGCAUGACCGGCUGAUUUUAAGACAUUUUUUCUUUAAUUUUACCAGAUCUAAGGCUUCAUAAAUAUGUAAUGUUGUUUACGUUCAGACUUAUUUUAUGAUAUUUUAAUAUUUUGAACUUGCGCGAACAGUAUAUUCGAACGGUAAGCCGUGUAACUUGAUGAAGAGUAAAUCAUUAUUAAAGUUUUAAUAUUUUAUUUUGAUGAAAAAUUUUUUACUUAUGAGAAUUUUUACUUAUGAGAAUCUCUCAAUCAGUGGCAAGUUGGUGUUAAUGGCCUUAAAUAUCGUCAACAUAGUUUGGCCAUGUGUGCACCAUAAUUCCAAAUUAUUUGACACAUUUAUAUUGAUUCGGAACAGAAAAAUACACAGGUCUUUUUUCGAAAGCAUCAACAAAAAUCAAUCUAAAAACCUUGUUAAUCAAUGGUUUUAAAGCACACUUGAAGGAUAAUUCGAUGUCUCCAGGAGCGUUAUAAAGCUUAUGAUGGGUACCUCACUUGUAUAUUAUUGAGAUUUGCCAUCAAGAUGAAGGUCUGUUCUAAAAGUAUACACACUUUUUUAUGUACAUGGUAUCGGAGUUACCGUGAACACACAUUUGAUUUCAAAAACGCAAAUUAAUAGGCUUCAACCCAGACAACUUUGUUCAAAUUAUUGCUUUUCAUCAGAUACGAAUCUCUCGACAUGUCUACGUGGUUUAUGUAUUGUCCUUUCAACAUAAACACACACUCAUACCUGGUGUCCCCCGAAGAUAACUAAAAAAGAAAAAGGGUAAAACAAAAACAAUUAUUAUCGAAAUUAUGAUUAUGGAUAUUUCAAAACAUUGUAUCGAUGAUUGUGGGAAAAGCAAAAAAAGGAUGGAAGCGAGAUGUUGAUUAUAAGAAAACAAAAAUAGGAACAAAAUUGAAGAAGUAGAGCAACAAUACAAAAAUACUACAUUAACAAGCUGAGAGAGGAAUUUCAGUGCAGAAGACAACAUUGAGUUAGAUCUUUACCAUUGAAUUUUUCAUGACUGAAAUUACUGAAUGGAGCGAGCGUGAAUGGUGAUUGCAAUUACUUAAUCUAAAACGUACGCAACCCUAUAUACAACAAAUUAAAGAAACCCAAACAGUAAAUGUAUGUACUCCAGGACAAAAAAGAACACACACACACACGACUACCAACCAUCAGCGAUCAAAACUUAGCAUGGAAGAAACAAUUCGCUACGCCCCGAAUGUUAUAAUUAUUAACGACUAAGUAAAUAGUUGAAAAUUGAUUCCAUUCAUAUAUUAAUCAUACUUACAUUAAUUAUAGCUAUACAUUGAUUAUAUUAAAUUGAUAAAAAAAAGAACACGAAGACGGAAAAGUAAGACAAACAACACGCAAAUUAUAAUAUUGUAUUGCCCCUCUUGAAAAUGCCUUUUAUUUUGUUGUAUACAUAUAUUUACAUUUAUUUUUCAUUGUAUUAUGUUCUCUUCCUUUUUCAUGAAAUGUACACUCUGAUUACAAUUAGUAAAUGAUUACAAUUAAGGGAAAGCAAAAAAAAA